GUGAAAACCACCGUGAAUCUCCAGAGGAUUGACUGGCUGCUGCCGAAAGGUGCAGUCAGUGUGCGGAUCGCCCCGGAAUACAUCCCCGGUCCAGUUGGCCGAGGACAAACCAGUUCCAGUGAUGCUGGCCGUCGGAAGAAGUGCCGCACCAGGCCGCCGACAGCCAGCUCCCUGACCACGUCUGCCUCUCCUGGAUCUGCUGCCAUCCCGGUGGCAACCAGCAGGGGUCAGCAGGGCACAGGCCGCCGUAGAAAUACGGCGGGAGGCCGGUCAGGGCGAAGAAGGAGGUAUGACCAACAGAAGGGGUUAGAGCCUAAGCCCAGCUCACCAACCUUCUCCUCCUCUUCAUUUUUAUUUCCGUCUUCAGCCCCCUCCCCUUUUGUUUCAUCCCCAUUUCUUUUUAUGGGCUCCUCUGUUUUAUCCCCACACUUACUCACACCUGUAAGCCCAGCUCCACAUCCAUAUUCAGCUCCAGGCCUGGUUCAUCUGACCCAUCUGCUUCAGGCUCCAGCACAGGCUGUAGCCGCCUCAUCUCACCUGGAAAAAUUCUAUUGGUUGUAUAACUAUUAUGUAACAAAGUACUCUAAAAUGACCUAUGACGCCAAGUGCUUUACUGAGUACUGGUGUCAGGAGUUUUGGAACAGACAUUUAAAUGAAAUUAACUUAGCGAAACUGGGGAAGAAUGAGGAUAAUGAGGGUACUCAUUCAUCCAAGAGGCGUAGGAUUGAUGAAGAUGAGUUCAUCUUUCCUAUUGAUGCACUGGAGCAGCUAAGUACCAUGCCCAGGGCUCAGGAGAUGGGUGUGGAGAUGGGCUAUCAGUCAGAUGCACAUAGCUACAUUUCCCUGUAGAUUCAGCACAUAAUUACACGAGAGUUGUCAUACAUACUUAGGAUAAGAUAAAAUACCAUGUAGUUCUAUAGCAUAAGGUACUAUAGGAUAAGAUUAAGAUAGGAUAAGGUUAAGAUAGGACAAGUUAAGAUAGUCUUAACUUGUAUGCCAUUUUAUGUUUUACAAAGACAUGAUGAAUUACCAUAAGUUUAGGAUAAGAUUAUAUAAGAUAACAUAGUAUAAGAAUAAGAUAGGAUUGCAUAGCAUAAGAUAAGAAAGAUAGGAUAAGAUAACAUAGAAUAAAAUUAAGAUAGGAUAGGUUACGGUAAGCUUAAGAUUGUAUAACAUAGGAUUAGAUUAAUUAUAAAUAAAGCAGUCCUCCUCAGAGGGGGGUGGUGGAGGGAAUAUUUUAAGAAAUAAAAAUAGGAUCAGUUAACAUAAGGUUAAGAUAAGAUUGUAUAACAUAGGGCUACAGUGAAGAAAUCAAAAAUUUCAAGGCAGCAUGAAGGUAACGCACAAUCAGGGAUGUGCAAUUUCUGAGGCAUGUAUUCAAAAAAAGUAUUUUAAUUGUGUUUUAUGAUUCAUAUUUGACUUAGUUCAUGAAAUAAAAUGUUUUUUUCUACA